UAUUCUUUAAACUCCAUCUCUAUUGAUACCUUAUCUGUAGAGAGGGAAACGGCGCUUAAACCCCUCUUUCCCAAAAUGACCGAUAAUUCUCAACCUACAUUCACAUGGCGGGAAAUUCCGGGCCUUCACCCGACCCGCUCAGGCGGCCUCCGCCUCCGCCAAUGCAAUUCCAGACGCUUCGGCGAUGGCAGAGGGCCUAAUUUUGCCUGUAUUUCGCUCGCCGAGAAGAGGGAGGACAAGGAGUUCUCGCCCUCGUUCGAUCAGAUUUUGAAGCAUCCACUCGCUAUGGUUGCAUUGGUCCCCAAAGACGCCGCUCUCUUCGCCGCCGGGGCUAUUGCCGGCGCCGCCGCCAAAACCGUUACUGCUCCGCUCGACCGUAUCAAGCUUCUUAUGCAGACUCAUGGGCUUAGAGCUGGACAAGAUGGUGCGAAGAAGGGAAUAGGUUUUCUUGAGGCUAUCUCGUUGGUCGGAAAGGAAGAAGGGCUAAAAGGUUACUGGAAAGGGAAUCUCCCUCAGGUGAUUCGGGUUAUACCUUACAGUGCAGUUCAACUUUUUGCCUAUGAGUCAUACAAGAAACUUUUCCGGGGAAAGGAUGGUGAACUCUCUCUAAUUGGAAGAUUAGCUGCAGGUGCUUGUGCUGGCAUGACUUCAACUUUCGUUACAUACCCGCUUGAUGUCCUCCGUUUGAGGUUAGCUGUUGAACCUGGCUACAAAACAAUGUCACAGGUUGCUGCAAACAUGUUGAGAGAGGAAGGAUUUGCGUCAUUUUAUAAUGGUCUAGGACCUUCUCUUAUUGGAAUCGCACCUUAUAUUGCAGUGAAUUUCUGCGUUUUUGACUUGGUGAAGAAGUCUCUCCCGGAAAAGUAUCAGAAGAGGACUGAAGCAUCCAUGGUGACUGCACUAGUGUCAGCGACUGUAGCUACACUCAUGUGCUAUCCUUUGGACACUGUUAGGAGGCAGAUGCAACUGAAGGGUACCCCUUACGUGACCGUUUUGGAUGCCAUUCCAGGUAUUGUGGCUCGCGAUGGUUUAGUGGGACUGUACAGGGGUUUCAUCCCCAAUGCAUUAAAGUCUCUUCCCAACAGCAGCAUAAGGCUUACUACAUUUGACAGUGUGAAGCGUCUUAUCGCGUCAGGGGAGAAAGAACUUCAAAGGAUUAUGGUGGAAAACCGCAAGAAUGCAGAUCAAAGUGCUAGUGACAAUGGAUCUAGUUAGCUUUGCUUCGUCAUCCCUAGCUCGCAGUCAGUAUCUAUCGUGCACAACGAGAAGCUCUUUUAUUUUUGAAGGAAUUAAAGUGUUACAUCUUACAGGGCAUCUUCGAAGAUCUUAGAGAGACAGAGAGAUAGAGUUUAUAUUUUUUGCAGUCUACGUUUUAUUUUCAUUUCAUGUGGGUAUAUAUCAUAUAGGCAUUUUUAUUGUCGUCGGAGUAUUAUUUUGAGAUCUUAUAUAUUCUCAACAUUUACAAUGCAAUUAGUCUUAAGAUA